UUUACAUGUGACCAGAGUUUGUAGCUAUGGUAAAAGCGAGACGUGAGCUGUAUGGAAAGCCCGCUUCUUUUACGUUAAGGAAGACCAAAGAAAUUCAGAGGGAUUUGGUUGCUGGUACAGAUCUAUACAUGCUUGUUCGCAGACAUCACUAUCUUUUUUAAAACAAUUUCGACAUGCAUCUGAUAUUAAUACUGGCUAAUGAAGAUUUUAUAUCUUUACAUAAUCUACACUUUUCUUUUUUUUCAUUUCAAACAUUCUGCACUCAGAUUGUGCUGCUACUACAUUCAAACUUUGACAAUUUCUAUGUAAUUAACUUCUUUAUGUAGUUUUACAACUUUUUUUUAAUAUAGUUUAUACAUUUAACAAAAGGCCCAACAAAAGCCUAAACCGCGAAACCGAACCGGAAUCAACUGUUAGUAAUGGUUUGGUUCAGUUCGGUUUUAAAUUUUAAUGGUUUGGUUCGGUUUUGGAUAACCUUAAACUGUUACUAACAAGCGGGUUAAAUAGGUGUUUCUAGAACGAUACAUGGCCUAGAAUAAUGAGCACGCAACAGCUCACAGUAGUGUACUUAAUCUUGAGUGAUGUAGUUGCUUGGUUUUAUUUUUUUUCUUUAAAUUUGGGCCAUUAGUUGGCUUACUUGAUAACUUUACAUCAAACUACGCAGAUUUUGCAUGCUGGUGGAAAAUUUGGGGCGCCAGUAGCGGUUCUAAACGGGUGGACUACUAUUUCGGAUUUUGAACGGGUACAAGCAGCCUAAACUUCCGAAGUGCAACCUUGGUUUAAAAAAGUGUGCAUGAGGCACGCCUAGGGGCGAGGCACACUGAGGCGCAAAUCUGAGCGCCUUAUGUAGCCUGAUGUGUUUUGACCCGUUUGGGAUUAAACACAGUUCAAAUAGACACAUUUACAUGUGACCAGAGUUUGUAGCUAUGGUAAAAGUGAGAUGUGAGCUGUAUGGAAAGCCCACUUCUUUUACGUUAAGGAAGACCAAAGAAAUUCAGAGAAUUGGUUGCUGGUGCAGAUGUAUACAUGCUGGUUCACUUUUGGGCUUCUGUUUUGGUACUGGGAGAACUACAAAUUGAUUCCCUUUUAAGCGAUUUUUUUAAGUUAUUCUUUUCGUUUGCUAUAGUUAGUGCAUCAAAACCGGCUGAUUUCUCGCUUACUGCAACGCGCUAGAUUACUUA